rnacentral:rRNA from 1 species
UACGGAGUGUGCAAGCGUUACUCGGAAUCACUGGGCAUAAAGCGCACGUAGGCGGCUAGGUCCGUCCAAUGUGAAAGCCCCCGGCUCAACCGGGGAAUUGCAUCGGAUACAGCCUGGCUUGAGGACGGUUGGGGUGAGUGGAACUCCUGGUGGAGCGGUGAAAUGCGUAGAUAUCGAGAGGAACACCUGCGGCGAAGGCGGGUUGCUGGGCUGACACUGACGCUGAGGCGCGAAAGCUAGGGGAGCGAACGGG